ACUAAAAGGGGGUAACAUGUAAAUGUACAAGUAGUAAGGGUUAAUUAAGUGGGAAAACCCAAAUACAACCUCUGUACGUGCGUUGGGGUCGAGCUAGGGCAGGAGGAAACAAGGGUCUUCCUUGUUCUUGCAAAAACUCAUCAAUUGGCAAGGAGAAACCAAGAUUUGUCUAUUGCAUGUUCUAAAAAUCCAGCCAUCUAAGCAUAUCUAGUAGAUUGGCGUGAAGGAAGAAGGCUCAAGUGCUAAGAAAACGGAAGGUUCACAAGAUCGAGGUAAAUCCUCGACUUAGGCGUAAGGAUGGCUUGGAAUGUGCACACUUGGAUUACGCCUACCACACGCUUCCGUUAAUAAGACUUUGUUUUGAAUGGGUCAAUUGUGGUGUUUUGUACUUAACCUUAACUCGUAUAUGGUACUUAUCGUUGGAAAAUUUUUAGUAGUAAUAGUCGUGUUGUGUUC